rnacentral:ncRNA from 1 species
GCUCAUCAAGAGUAGUGGAGGGACUGGCCCGAGGAAACUACAGCAACCAUUCUUUGGAAGCGGUGCUAAUUCCAGCAGGAAACUGAAAGAUGAGG